CCUACGUGAGGCAGCAGUAGGGACUAUUGCUCAAUGGGGGAAACCCUGAAGCAGCAACGCCGCGUGGAGGAUGAAGGUUUUCGGAUUGUAAACUCCUUUUGUUAGAGAAGAUAAUGACGGUAUCUAAAGAAUAAGCACCGGCUAACUCCGUGCCAGCAGCCGCGGUAAUACGGAGGGUGCAAGCGUUACUCGGAAUCACUGGGCGUAAGGAGCGCGUAGGCGGGAUAGCAAGUCAGAUGUGAAAUCCUAUGGCUUAACCAUAGAACUGCAUUUGAAACUGUUAUUCUAGAGUAUGGGAGAGGUAGGUGGAAUUCUUGGUGUAGGGGUAAAAUCCGUAGAGAUCAAGAGGAAUACUCAUUGCGAAGGCGACCUGCUAGAACAUAACUGACGCUGAUGCGCGAAAGCGUGGGGAGCAAACAGGAUUAGAUACCCGAGUAGUC
rnacentral:rRNA from 1 species